rnacentral:rRNA from 1 species
UACGAAGGGGGCUAGCGUUGUUCGGAGUUACUGGGCGUAAAGGGCGCGUAGGCGGCCCUCCAAGUCGGGCGUGAAAGCCCACGGCUCAACCGUGGAAUUGCGCUCGAGACUGAAGGGCUCGAGGACGGGAGAGGAUGGUGGAAUUCCCAGUGUAGAGGUGAAAUUCGUAGAUAUUGGGAGGAACACCAGUGGCGAAGGCGGCUACCUGGACCGGAACUGACGCUGAUGCGCGAAAGCGUGGGUAGCAAACAGG